GGCGGCGUAGCUCAGAGGUAGAGCAGCGCUCUCAUAAGGCGCCUGUCGGAGGUUCGAGUCCUCCCGCCGCCACCA
rnacentral:tRNA from 1 species